rnacentral:rRNA from 1 species
GAUGAACGCUGGCGGCGUGCCUAAUACAUGCAAGUCGAGCGAACGGACGAGAAGCUUGCUUCUCUGAUGUUAGCGGCGGACGGGUGAGUAACACGUGGAUAACCUACCUAUAAGACUGGGAUAACUUCGGGAAACCGGUGCUAAUACCGGAUAAUAUUUUGAACCGCAUGGUUCAAAAGUGAAAGACGGUCUUGCUGUCACUUAUAGAUGGAUCCGCGCUGCAUUAGCUAGUUGGUAAGGUAACGGCUUACCAAGGCAACGAUGCAUAGCCGACCUGAGCGGGUGAUCGGCCACACUGGAACUGAGACACGGUCCAGACUCCUACGGGAGGCAGCAGUAGCGGAACUUACGCAAUGGGCGAAAGCCUGACGGAGCAACGCCGAGGGAGUGAUGAAGGUCUUCGGAUCGUAAAACUCUGUUAUUAGGGAAGAACAUAUGUGUAAGUAACUGUGCACAUCUUGAAGGUAACUAAUCAGAAAGCCACGGCUAACUACGUG